UACGAAGGGGGCUAGCGUUGCUCGGAAUCACUGGGCGUAAAGCGCACGUAGGCGGCUUUUUAAGUCAGGGGUGAAAUCCUGGAGCUCAACUCCAGAACUGCCUUUGAUACUGGGAGCUCGAGUCCGGGAGAGGUGAGUGGAACUCCGAGUGUAGAGGUGAAAUUCGUAGAUAUUCGGAAGAACACCAGUGGCGAAGGCGGCUCACUGGCCCGGUACUGACGCUGAGGUGCGAAAGCUAGGGGAGCAAACAGG
rnacentral:rRNA from 1 species